AACUUUGAAGCGAUGGAUUGCACCGAAGUAAAGUGUUAAACUAAUGCGACCUCGCUGAACUUAUCAAUCUUUCGAGUCAUAGCGAUAAGUAUUCUUACCACCUAUUUUAUAUACAGUUUUUGUAUAUUUAGAGAACUUUUCGACAUAUUUCUUUACGGUUUUUUUGUUGCUAUUUCUGAUAGUAUACUAAGAGUAAUUAUUGCAAUAUGAUGUAAAUUAUUAUUGUUAGAAACAACCUGAUUAAAAAAAGUUGUGAAAAUUGAACGAAUAGUUAAUUUCCCCAAAAGGUACCCCUUUACACAUAUACAUGUUUUACAAAAAUUACAUGUUUUUGGGGUUGCUGACGAUGAAUCUGAAAUCAGAUUUUGAAAAUUCAGCAUGGCGAAUCCAGUCAGCGACCCCGAAAUUCCCUGCACAGAGUUUUUUUGGCGUAUUCGAUCAAAUUGGAAAUUUACGUCCGCCAUAUUGGAUCCGCCAUCUUGAAUUUUUGAAAUCUGAUUUCAGAUUCAUCAUCA